AAAAGUAGCGACAGUCGC
rnacentral:snRNA from 1 species